UGUGGACUUGACCACUUGACUAUCUCUUGGACUUUGGGUUGCUCGUCAACAUAACUUGCAUUCGGACUUUCCCUUUUUUCGUUAGCCAAAUACACUGACGUCAUCCGAGGUCAUCAAGAUGGCAGCGUUUGACAACUAGCCGGUUUUCUCAUAAGAGUCAAUGCUAAUAUUUUCGGAAUUCAUUUAAAUUUGAGAGUGUGUCAACUGUGUUUUUAUAAUUUGGAGAAAAUGCCUAAAUUUUGUGCUGUUGUGGGUUGCGCAAAUCGAAGCACCAGAAAUGCGGACAAAUUUUAUAUUCCUUUCGCAGCAAUUAGCAACAAUAAUGGUAAAUAUAUACAGGAUGGGGAAAAAGGCGGAAGUUUUGGUUAAAAGCCUUGAAACGAGUGGAUUUAACGAAGCCAAAGUAAAGUAUUCCUAUGUUUGUUCGGAUCAUUUUAUUUUAGGUACAAUACCUACCUAUUAGAUUUACAGUUUCUAACAAAUUACUACAUUGGUACUCUUUUAGGUAAACCUGCAGAUUUGUCGGAUGUGGAUCAUCCUGAUUAUGUUCCAUCACAAAAUUUAGAAUAUCAAAAUAAAUCCACUCAUAAUACUUGUAAUGUUGAAAGACACAGUUGUUUAAAAAAGAGAAAAUUGAAUAAAUGUCUCUAGACUUUUGAAGGCACGAGUUUUAUUGUGGGUUAUUUUACUUACUCUAAAAACAAAAAAGUUUAGAAUGGUAUUCAUUGUUAUGGUAGGGACAUCGUCUAAACAUAAACUAAAAUCACUUGCCCUCAUUGUAUAAGGAUCUACGCCGUUUAAAUUGUUUAACUUUUAUACAUAUCUGUGUUUGUCUUCGACGGAAAGACAUCGUGCAUAAUCACUUAAAUUAUCCAUACUUUAAAAACAAAUCACACACCUUUACUUAAACCCGUCACAUUAGCCUCAAACGAAAAUAUUAAUUUCCGAUUACCCCCUUAAAACACACGGAUGUAUUUUGGGUGACGAGGAAUUCAGACCAAAACAGCGUUCUGUAUUUUUAUUGUUAUUAUGUAUUUCUAAACUCAAAUCGCCAAAAAAAACACCUUGAUACACAGAAAAGAUAUGAAAGAAGCUAUUGACGUGUUUAUUUUCUAGAUAAAUAUCCAUACUUUUAAAUAAAAUGCGAAAAUGUUAA